GACGAAGGAUGCAAGCGUUAUCCGGAUUCAUUGGGUUUAAAGGGUGCGUAGGCGGACCUGUAAGUCAGUGGUGAAGUCUCUCAGCUUAACUGAGAAACUGCCAUUGAUACUGCAAGUCUAGAGUAUAGAUGACGUUGGCGGAAUAUGACAUGUAGUGGUGAAAUACUUAGAUAUGUCAUAGAACACCGAUUGCGAAGGCAGCUAACGAAACUAUAACUGACGCUGAGGCACGAAAGUGCGGGGAUCAAACAGG
rnacentral:rRNA from 1 species